AUGUUCAUCAAAUGCAAAUUAUGCAAAAACAUGAAAGAAAUAAAACGUGGAUUCGAAGCAGAGAUACAUAGAAAACCAGAUAUGAGUGGUGUUUGGUCAGAGGAAUUGUCAAUGUUGUUGCGUUUUGCAAGGAAUUUGAAGUUUGAGGAUGAAGGUGGAUUUGAGGGAUUUUUUGGGGGAAGUUUGGGUCCAUUUGAACAAUUCUGGUUUUGGAGUGAUGUGGUCAACAGGUUUAGGGAUAACAUCAGGGUUGUUUGGGCAGCAAUGUUUGGACAAAAUUGCAGCAGAUUGAUGCAGUUUUGUUCUUACCAUUUUGAGUUAUGCAGAGGCUAA
rnacentral:lncRNA from 1 species